rnacentral:rRNA from 1 species
GACGAACGCUGGCGGCGUGCUUAACACAUGCAAGUCGAACGGAAAGGCCCUUCGGGGUACUCGAGUGGCGAACGGGUGAGUAACACGUGGGUGAUCUGCCCUGCACUUUGGGAUAAGCCUGGGAAACUGGGUCUAAUACCGAAUAGGACCACGCGCUUCAUGGUGUGUGGUGGAAAGCUUUUGCGGUGUGGGAUGGGCCCGCGGCCUAUCAGCUUGUUGGUGGGGUAAUGGCCUACCAAGGCGACGACGGGUAGCCGGCCUGAGAGGGUGACCGGCCACACUGGGACUGAGAUACGGCCCAGACUCCUACGGGAGGCAGCAGUGGGGAAUAUUGCACAAUGGGCGCAAGCCUGAUGCAGCGACGCCGCGUGAGGGAUGACGGCCUUCGGGUUGUAAACCUCUUUCAAUAGGGACGAAGCGCAAGUGACGGUACCUAUAGAAGAAGCACCGGCCAACUACGUGCCAGCCGCCGCCGUAA